AAUAGAUACCCGGGUAGUCCACGCCGUAAACGAUGAGUGCUAAGUGUUGGAGGGUUUCCGCCCUUCAGUGCUGCAGCUAACGCAUUAAGCACUCCGCCUGGGGAGUACGGUCGCAAGACUGAAACUCAAAGGAAUUGACGGGGGCCCGCACAAGCGGUGGAGCAUGUGGUUUAAUUCGAAGCAACGCGAAGAACCUUACCAGGUCUUGACAUCUCCUGACCGCCCUGGAGACAGGGUCUUCCCUUCGGGGACAGGAUGACAGGUGGUGCAUGGUUGUCGUCAGCUCGUGUCGUGAGAUGUUGGGUUAAGUCCCGCAACGAGCGCAACCCUUGGUUCUAGUUGCCAGCAUUCAGUUGGGCACUCUAGAGCGACUGCCGGCAACAAGUCGGAGGAAGGUGGGGAUGACGUCAAAUCAUCAUGCCCCUUAUGACCUGGGCUACACACGUGCUACAAUGGAUGGUACAAAGGGCAGCGAAGCGGCGACGCAUAAGCGAAUCCCAGAAAACCAUUCUCAGUUCGGAUUGCG
rnacentral:rRNA from 1 species